rnacentral:rRNA from 1 species
UAUAUAAAGAAACUAUUAUGGAUAAUUAGCUAUAUAUUAAAGAAAUUUAGAAUAUACUAAUUUCUAAUAUAAAUUAAAUAAAUAAAUAAAGUGAAUUGAAAUAUCUUAAUAACUUUAAAGAAAAAAAAUCAAACGAGAUUCUAAAUUUAAUGAUAAGUUAAAAUUAGAGAAGCUUAAAAGUAAAAUGGGAAAAACCUGUUUGAAUAAAGGGGAACCUUCCUCUAAGGCUAAAUAUAAUAUAUAAGCGAUAGAGAAAGUACCGUGAGGGAAAAUUUGAAAUAGUAGUUUUAUAAGCAGCUCAAGAGAAAUUUUAAAUAAAUAAUAUGAGCGUACCUUUUGUAUAAUGGGUCAGCAAGUUAGUGUUAGAAGCAAGCAAAUAAAAAUUUGCCUAGAUAAACCAAUUAUGAGAAAAUGAUAAAGUUUCUAAUAUUAGACCCGAAGACUAGUGAUCUUACCAUAAUCAGGAUUAUAAAGGUCCGAACGGGUUAUCGUCGUAAAGAUAUCCGAAGAAUUGUGGUAAGUUAGUGAAAGACAAAACAGACUAGUAUAGCUGGUUUUCCGCGAAACCUAUGUAAGUAGGUAAUUUAAUUAACAUCUUAGCAGGUACAGAACUGUGAUCUCGAGCAAAAACAUAUUAUGUUUUUUGUUUACAUCGGGGGAUCGUAUUGAUUUUAUCGGAGAGUAUUUGCACUCGGAAGGGCAAAGAUGAAUAUUAAAUAAUCAGACAUAGUGCGAGAAGGUUGUAUGUCGAAAGGGAAACAGCCCAGAACAAGUGUUUAAGGUUCCAAAAUUAUUGUUAAGUGAAAUUAAGGAUGUCUAUAUCAAAAACAAUCAGGAAAUAGGCUUAGAAGCUGCCAUUUUUUGAAGACCUCGUAACAGAGCACUGAUGAAUAUUAGAUAAAUACACCGAAAAUUUAACGGAUCUAAACAAUAUACCGAAACCUUGUACAUGUAUAAAUUAUUAAUAUAUAUAUUUUAUAUAUGGGGUAGCGGAACAAUGGAUACAUAUUAGAUUAUUUCUUUUAAAGAUUUAAAAUAAAUAUAAUCCAUGAGAGAAUGCUGACAUGAGUAACGAAAAAGGAAUAAAUUUCCUCGCCUAAAGCUUAUGGUAUUUUAAUUAAAUUUCGGUAUCUAAGUUAAAUUUAUGAUAAUGUUUAUUAUUAAACCUAAAAGGGGAUAUAAAUAUAAUAUUUAUAUUAUAUUAAAAACGAUGAUAAAGAGAAUUAUUUGUUUAUAAAACCUUUAUAUAGUGAUAAAGGUUCUGGAAACUAUAACAAAUAUUUAUAUAUAUUCUCACUUAAUUAAUUAAGUAAAUAAACCGUACCUAAAUACUAACACAAGUAAGCAAGUAGAGAAUACAAAGGCGUUUGAGUUAAUAAUCCUUAAGGAACUCGGCAAAUUAACUACCGUAACUUCGGGAUAAGGAGGGCCAUUAUUCUUGAUAAAUAAAAAAAAAUUUUUUUUUAUUAACAUAUCAGGUAAAUAAGAGGAAACAUAAAAUAAUGUUGUACGACUGUUUAAUAAAAACAAAGCACUCUGCAAAGAUAAAUAAUCAAAGUAUUGAGUGUGAUGUCUGCCCAAUGUCGGCUGGGUAACGGAUUUUCUUAAUUGAAAAAUUAGGUUUUGAAGGAUACCCCGAUAAAUGGCGGCCUUACCUAUAAGGGUCCUAAGGUAGCGAAAUUUCUUGGCCGUUAAAUGCGGUCCUGCAUGAAUGACGUAACGAUACAACAGCUGUCUCGAGGAUUAGCUCAGUGAAAUUGAAAUAGCAGUGAAGAUGCUGCUUACCUCUAGAUAGACGAGAAGACCCUAUGCAGCUUUACUGUUACCAAUUAUGAACAUAGUAUGAUAAUUUCCAGUGUAUAAGGUAAUAGAUUUAUGAAAUUGAAACACCUUUAUUUGUUCUAUUAUAUUCUUUAUGAUUGGAAGACAGUUUAUGCGGGGCACAGAUCCCAUAAAAAGUACCUGGGUAUAUCCAAAGUUCAUUUUGUAAAUAUGUAAAUAAUAAUUUACAAUAAUAAUUUAUAAAAUUUUAUAAAUUAUUAUUAUUUUAUUUUGUUAUUAAUUAUUAAUAAUUAUCCAGUUAUUAUUGUAUUAAAUACGAUUUUAAUUUUAAAUUUAGGUAAGAUUUUAACUAUAUGGUAAAUAGAUGUAUAUUAAAUAUUAAUCAAAUAUUUGAUUAAUAUUUAUUUAUAUAAAUAAAUAAAUUAAUUUAUUUAUAUGAUAAUUAUUUAUACUUUAAAAGUUUAAUGGCUAAAUCUUGCUUUACUGUUUGACUUACAAGUCUAUCAGUCGCGUAAGCGGGGCAUAUGAUCACAAGAUGCAGAAAGGAAAGGUCUUGGAUUAUAGAAAAAGUUACGCUAGGGAUAAUAUAUAUAAAUAUAUAUAUAAAUAGUUAAUAAAGAUAAAGAAAUAGUCUGAACCAUUUUGAAAAAAAUGGAAAUAAAAGAUAAAAAGCUUUUAUGAUAACAUAAAUUGAACAGGCUUAUAUGCGCAAGAGAGUACAAAUUGAGUGCGCUGUUUGGCACCUCGAUGUCGGCUUAGCUCAUCCACAUGAAUGCAGAAAUCAUGAAGGGUUCGACUGUUCGUCGAUUAAAGAGCUACGUGAGCUGGGUUUAAUACGUCGUGAGACAGUAUGGUUUCUAUCUUCUAGGGGAAAUUAGAGUAAAAAGCAGAUAAUCCCUUCGUACGAAAGGAGUUGGGAAUAUUGACCUAUGGUUUACCUGUUGUUUAUAUUAAGGUUAAUACUUUCACUAAAGUAAUUUAAUUAUAUAGGCAUGGCAGGAAAGCUAAGUCAGUUAUAGAUAAGUGCUGAAAGCAUAUAAGCACGAAGCUUACUAUUGGAUACUCUUAAAUAAACGUAAUAUAACAUUACGAGUUUAUAGGCUUUAAUUGUAAUAACUUUAAUAGUUUUUAGAUAUAAAGUACUAAUUGUUAAU